rnacentral:rRNA from 1 species
UACAGAGGGGGCAAGCGUUGUUCGGAAUUACUGGGCGUAAAGGGCGCGUAGGCGGCCUGCUAAGUCGAACGUGAAAUCCCUGGGCUCAACCCAGGAACUGCGUCCGAUACUGGUUGGCUUGAAUCCGGGAGAGGGAUGUGGAAUUCCAGGUGUAGCGGUGAAAUGCGUAGAUAUCUGGAGGAACACCGGUGGCGAAGGCAGGUCUCUGGGCCAUAACUGACGCUGAGGUGGCGAAAGCGUGGGGAGCAAACAGG